UAGAGUUUGAUUCUGGCUCAGAAGGAACGCUGGCAGCGUGCAUAACACAUGCAAGUCGAACGAUGAAGCAUUCUUCGGAAUGUGGAAGAGUGGCGAACGGGUGAGGAACACGUAAGAAUCUGCCCCUCGGUCGGGGACAACUCUUGGAAACGAGAGCUAAUACCCGAUACGCUGUGGAGUGAAAGAAUUUCGCCGAGGGAUGAUCUUGCGUCUGAUUAGCUAGUUGGUGUGGUAAUGGCACACCAAGGCGACGAUCAGUAGCUGGUCUGAGAGGAUGGACAGCCACAUUGGAACUGAGACACGGUCCAAACUCCUACGGGAGGCAGCAGUGGGGAAUUUUCCGCAAUGGACGCAAGUCUGACGGAGCGACGCUGCGUGAAGGAUGACGGCCCGCGGGUUGUAAACUUCUUUUCUCGAAGAAGAAACAAAUGACGGUAUUCGAGGAAUAAGCAUCGGCUAACUCCGUGCCAGCAGCCGCGGUAAUACA
rnacentral:rRNA from 1 species